CCCUUCGAUGUUCUGGGCCGCACGCGUGCUACACUGAUGCAUUCAACGAGUCUAAAACCUGGUCUGAUAGGGCUGGGUAAUCUUUUGAAAGUGCAUCGUGAUUGGGAUAGAUGAUUGCAAUUCUUCAUCUUCAACGAGGAAUGCCUAGUAAACGCAAGUCAUCAGCUUGCAUUGAUUACGUCCCUGCCCUUUGUACACACCGCCCGUCGCUCCUACCGAUUGAAUGAUCCGAUGAAUACCAUGGAUUGAGAGUACGAAUAGGUUCGCUUAUUUCUGCUGCUCGAGAAGUGGAGUAAAUCUUAUCAUUUAGAGGAAGGAGAAGUCGUAACA
rnacentral:rRNA from 1 species